rnacentral:misc_RNA from 1 species
AACGCACAUUGCGCCCUGUGGUAUUCCGCAGGGCAUGCCUGUUCGAGCGUCAGUACAACACUCAAGCCUAGCUUGGUCUUGGGCCUCGCCGGAGACGGCGGGCCUUAAAAGCAGUGGCGGCGCCUGUUAGGCCCUACGCGUAGUAAUUCACCUCGCGACAGGGACCCAGCAGACGCUGGCCAGCAACCCCCAACUUUCUACGUUUGACCUCGGAUCAGGUAGGGAUACCCGCUGAACUUAA